rnacentral:rRNA from 1 species
GGUGAAAAGCACCCCGGAAGGGGAGUGAAAUAGAACCUGAAACCGUGUGCUUACAAGUAGUCAGAGCCCGUUAAUGGGUGAUGGCGUGCCUUUUGUAGAAUGAACCGGCGAGUUACGAUUUGAUGCAAGGUUAAGCAGUAAAUGUGGAGCCGUAGCGAAAGCGAGUCUGAAUAGGGCGUUUAGUAUUUGGUCGUAGACCCGAAACCAGGUGAUCUACCCUUGGUCAGGUUGAAGUUCAGGUAACACUGAAUGGAGGACCGAACCGACUUACGUUGAAAAGUGAGCGGAUGAACUGAGGGUAGCGGAGAAAUUCCAAUCGAACCUGGAGAUAGCUGGUUCUCUCCGAAAUAGCUUUAGGGCUAGCCUCAAGUGAUGAUUAUUGGAGGUAGAGCACUGUUUGGACGAGGGGCCCCUCUCGGGUUACCGAAUUCAGACAAACUCCGAAUGCCAAUUAAUUUAACUUGGGAGUCAGAACAUGGGUGAUAAGGUCCGUGUUCGAAAGGGAAACAGCCCAGACCACCAGCUAAGGUCCCAAAAUAUAUGUUAAGUGGAAAAGGAUGUGGCGUUGCCCAGACAACUAGGAUGUUGGCUUAGAAGCAGCCAUCAUUUAAAGAGUGCGUAAUAGCUCACUAGUCGAGUGACACUGCGCCGAAAAUGUACCGGGGCUAAACAUAUUACCGAAGCUGUGGAUUGUCCUUUGGACAAUGGUAGGAGAGCGUUCUAAGGGCGUUGAAGCAUGAUCGUAAGGACAUGUGGAGCGCUUAGAAGUGAGAAUGCCGGUGUGAGUAGCGAAAGACGGGUGAGAAUCCCGUCCACCGAUUGACUAAGGUUUCCAGAGGAAGGCUCGUCCGCUCUGGGUUAGUCGGGUCCUAAGCUGAGGCCGACAGGCGUAGGCGAUGGAUAACAGGUUGAUAUUCCUGUACCACCUAUAAUCGUUUUAAUCGAUGGGGGGACGCAGUAGGAUAGGCGAAGCGUGCGAUUGGAUUGCACGUCUAAGCAGUAAGGCUGAGUAUUAGGCAAAUCCGGUACUCAUUAAGGCUGAGCUGUGAUGGGGAGAAGACAUUGUGUCUUCGAGUCGUUGAUUUCACACUGCCGAGAAAAGCCUCUAGAUAGAAAAUAGGUGCCCGUACCGCAAACCGACACAGGUAGUCAAGAUGAGAAUUCUAAGGUGAGCGAGCGAACUCUCGUUAAGGAACUCGGCAAAAUGACCCCGUAACUUCGGGAGAAGGGGUGCUCUUUAGGGUUAACGCCCAGAAGAGCCGCAGUGAAUAGGCCCAAGCGACUGUUUAUCAAAAACACAGGUCUCUGCUAAACCGUAAGGUGAUGUAUAGGGGCUGACGCCUGCCCGGUGCUGGAAGGUUAAGAGGAGUGGUUAGCUUCUGCGAAGCUACGAAUCGAAGCCCCAGUAAACGGCGGCCGUAACUAUAACGGUCCUAAGGUAGCGAAAUUCCUUGUCGGGUAAGUUCCGACCCGCACGAAAGGCGUAACGAUUUGGGCACUGUCUCAACGAGAGACUCGGUGAAAUCAUAGUACCUGUGAAGAUGCAGGUUACCCGCGACAGGACGGAAAGACCCCGUGGAGCUUUACUGUAGCCUGAUAUUGAAAUUCGGCACAGCUUGUACAGGAUAGGUAGGAGCCUUUGAAACGUGAGCGCUAGCUUACGUGGAGGCGCUGGUGGGAUACUACCCUAGCUGUGUUGGCUUUCUAACCCGCACCACUUAUCGUGGUGGGAGACAGUGUCAGGCGGGCAGUUUGACUGGGGCGGUCGCCUCCUAAAAGGUAACGGAGGCGCUCAAAGGUUCCCUCAGAAUGGUUGGAAAUCAUUCAUAGAGUGUAAAGGCAUAAGGGAGCUUGACUGCGAGACCUACAAGUCGAGCAGGGUCGAAAGACGGACUUAGUGAUCCGGUGGUUCCGCAUGGAAGGGCCAUCGCUCAACGGAUAAAAGCUACCCCGGGGAUAACAGGCUUAUCUCCCCCAAGAGUUCACAUCGACGGGGAGGUUUGGCACCUCGAUGUCGGCUCAU